rnacentral:rRNA from 1 species
CGGGUUGUAAAGCACUUUCAGUAGGGAGGAAGGUAGUGUAGUUAACACCUGCAUUAUUUGACGUUACCUACAGAAGAAGCACCGGCUAACUCCGUGCCAGCAGCCGCGGUAAUACGGGAGGGUGCGAGCGUUAAUACGGAAUUACUGGGACGUAAAGCGCAUGCAGGCGGCCUGUUAAGUACAGAUGUAGAAACGGCCCGGGGACCUUUAACCGUACGGUAAUUGCUAUUUAGUAAACGUGGCGAGGCUAGAGUCUUGUAGAGGGGGGUAGGAAUUUCAGGUGUAGCGGUGAAAUGCGUAGAGAUCUGAAGGAAUACCAGUGGCGAAGGCGGCCCCCUGGACAAAGACUGACGCUCAGAUGCGAAAGCGUGGGGAGCAAACAGGAUUAGAUACCCUGGUAG